rnacentral:rRNA from 1 species
UACGUAGGGUGCGAGCGUUGUCCGGAAUUACUGGGCGUAAAGAGCUCGUAGGUGGUUUGUCGCGUUGUCCGUGAAAACUCACAACUCAAUUGUGGGCGUGCGGGCGAUACGGGGCAGACUGGAGUACUGCAGGGGAGACUGGAAUUCCUGGUGGUAGCGGUGGAAUGCGCAGAUAUCAGGAGGAACACCGGUGGCGAAGGCGGGUCUCUGGGCAGUGGGCUCGAAAGGGCCCUUCAACCGGACACUGAGGCGCGACAGCGUGGGGAGCAACAGG